UACAGAGGGUGCGAGCGUUAAUCGGAGUUACUGGGCGUAAAGGGCGCGUAGGCGGUUUAAUAAGAUUGAUGUGAAAUCCCUGGGCUUAACCUAGGGCGGUCAUCGAUGACUAUUAAGCUGGAGUACUGUAGAGGGUAGUGGAAUUUCCGGUGUAGCGGUGAAAUGCGUAGAGAUCGGAAGGAACACCAGUGGCGAAGGCGACUACCUGGACAGAUACUGACGCUGAGGCGCGAGAGCGUGGGGAGCAAACAGG
rnacentral:rRNA from 1 species